rnacentral:rRNA from 1 species
ACGGGGACCCGCACAAGCGGUGGAUGAUGUGGAUUAAUUCGAUGCAACGCGAAGAACCUUACCUACCCUUGACAUGUCCGGAACUUGCCAGAGAUGGCUUGGUGCCCGAAAGGGAAUCGGAACACAGGUGCUGCAUGGUUGUCGUCAGCUCGUGCCGUGAGGUGUCGGGUUAAGUCCCAUAACGAGCGCAACCCUUAUCGUUAGUUGCCAUCUGGUAAUGCAGGGGACUCUAGCGAAACUGCCACCGUAAGGUGAGAGGAAGGUGGGGAUGACGUCAAAUCAGCACGGCCCUUAUGUCCAGGGCUACACACGUGUUACAAUGGUCGGUACAGAGGGCAGCUACCUGGUGACAGGAUGCUAAUCUCGAAAACCGGUCUCAGUUCGGAUCGAAGUCUGCAACUCGACUUCGUGAAGCUGGAUUCGCUAGUAAUCGCGCAUCAGCUAUGGCGCGGUGAAUACGUUCCCGGGCCUU